GGAUUGGAGUCUGCAAACUCGACUCCAUGAAGUCGGAAUCGCUAGUAAUUCGAGAUCAGCAUGCUCGGGUGAAUGCGUUCCCGGGCCUUGUACACACCGCCCGUCACACCACGAAAGUCGGUUUUACCCGAAGCCGGUGAGCUAACUCGCAAGAGAAGCAGCCGUCUACGGUAGGGCCGA
rnacentral:rRNA from 1 species